rnacentral:tRNA from 1 species
UCCGCAGUAGCUCAGCGGUAGAGCGAGGGACUGUUAAUCCCCAGGUCACAGGUUCGAAUCCUGUCUGCGGAG